GCCCACUGCACCCAGUUUCAUACUUAAAGUGCUCUACCUGCUAGCUAUGGGUUAGGGUUAUUGUUACUAGAAUUUUUCUUGUUUCAGAUCUGGUAACCCGUACGCUCAUGGUAGCAGUGCUAGUAUAUAAUACUACUAUUGAUAUUUGAACGCCUAGCCUCGUAGAGAGUAUUAUUUUCUAUGUCGAAAUGUACGUUGGUGUCAGAGGGGCACACGGGGAUGCGGUAAAUUUCCAUUAUCAAGAUAUCGACCUUUCUGUUGGCACAUCGAAAGUAUAUACAGUAUGGAGGUGCGGAAAAUAAGUCCUUGCACAUGCCAGGAAUAUAAAUGGA
rnacentral:sRNA from 2 species